GACAGAGGGUGCGAGCGUUGUCCGGAAUCACUGGGCGUAAAGGGCGCGUAGGCGGCCUGAUAAGUAGGGGGUGAAAUCCUGCGGCUUAACCGCAGGGCUGCCUUCUAAACUGUCGGGCUCGAGCACAGUAGAGGCAGGUGGAAUUCCCGGUGUAGCGGUGGAAUGCGUAGAGAUCGGGAGGAACACCGAUGGCGAAGGCAGCCCCCUGGGCUAACACUGACGCUCAUGCACGAAAGCGUGGGGAGCAAACAGG
rnacentral:rRNA from 1 species